rnacentral:lncRNA from 1 species
UCUCGGCGCUCCUCGGCGGGGAACCUGGCGGCCCAGGGCGCUCCCGGCUGCACGUGCUGUCCCCGCCGCCGCCCACGCCAGACAAAGCGGGGGCCCUCCCGGGCGCGUUUCCUAGGCGCCCUCCUUCCCUCGAUGAACCCUUUGAUUUCUUCCCUCUUCUCUAUUUCUCACGUCGUUCCAGCCCCCUCUGCUGCCUCCUGGAGCGCCUUUUUUUUUGUGCUCGCUGCCUCACGUUUGGCCCUCUCCAAAGCUCUGCCUUGACGAACGCCUCCAUUUGACCUUCCCCUUCCCCUGCUCUCUGGUCUCCCUUGGUAGCUUCACAGGACAUCUGAUGGAAAGCUCUGCAAAGUCAAGCCCAAGACCGUCUCACCAAGGUUCUGCGGCCAUCUCUAGAACCCCCGCUGGGACUCCCUGGCAGAGCCUGGAGGGGCUGAGGUUUUGGUGGACAUAUGUAAGGAAGGGUCAGCUUUUAUCUUCCCUUUUCUCCAGUGGGGAAAAUAAGCUCCAGGGUAGAAUCAUGCCUCAGGUAAGGAAAAGGAAAAUGUAUCUAGCAUUUCCGGAGGACCUU